AUGGCAGGGCAGACUUCUUAUUAUCUCUAGUCCUGAGCUCUGAUUGGUUCAGACUGUGGGAAACCUCUUCCAGACCAAAACCCACACAUCUAGAUGGAGAUGAGGAACUAUAAAUAGGAGAGUGAAGGAAGCAGAGAUCAGACUCAGAAAUCCAACCAUGAUACCUUCAGACUGCAGCAACGGACAGUUCUCAGGCGCAUCUGGUUCUGAACCACAAGCACAGAAAGCCUCUGGUGAAAGAACUUGCAGAAAGCGAAUCAACAGCAGCGUGGAACAGCUCAAGUCUCUYCUGGGUCCAGAGUUCCUCAAACAGCAGCCAGACUCCAAGCUGRAGAAAGCAGACAUCCUGGAGAUGCAGUGGAGAAACACUUUCUGUUCAAAGAUAAAGUGAAGYCACAGCCCCCAAAAAGACCACUGAACCACUUCUACAAGUUGCUUCCUCUGAAGAAAACUUGACAGGCUGGCUUCUCUGCUCUCAGCGCCACAGUCCAGACCAGCUUCUAUGAAGACAAGAGUUCAGUCAACAGCGCCCUCUGGAGGCCAUUGUAGAAAUCUACAGAUUUGAAUGAAAACUACUCAAACUAAGACCAUAUAGGUCCGACAUUAUUCAGCUAAAUUUCUCAGACUUUUGUUGGAAUAUUGCUCAUUUUGAUUCCGUUUGAAUCGUCAGUUUUUSAAAACAUUAUAUUUCCUUAGGAAAUUAUGUCUUUCAUGUUGAGAAAGAUUGAAGCAAGAAGCUAAAGACCAUGUUGGUCAAAGAUUACRGACACUGGGAUUAGUGAAAUUCAAAGCCUGAUUUCUCUGCUUAAACAGAAAAUUACUAAGCUGCAUUGAAAUGAAAUGAGUGUAUUUUUGUCUGUCAGAUUUAAAAGUAUUUUCAUUCAGUUUUAUUUGGAUAGAAAUUUUACUUUUGUUUUAAAUGCACUCAGGUCACCCAAACCUUCUUUCAUUUAUGUUUUUUUACUUUAAGUUUUUCUUUCUUAUGGAAAGACGGGUCUCUGGGUAUUGAUCUUUUAUCAGAUCUAAAUUUGUACUUUCGACCAUGUUGGUCAAUGAUAAAUGAAACUGAAAUGUUUGAAAUUCAAAACUGAUUCCUCUGUUGUACAGAGGGUUGUUUAACUGAGCAGAAACUGAUUAUUUUCAGAAAGCUUUGAUCUCUCAAAUCUGAAAGUGUUAUUCUUUUGUCUUAAAAGAUACCAAGUUUUAUCUUAGAGUGUACCGAGUUCACUCAAGAUAUAUUUUAUUCUUGCAUUGUAAAUUGUAAAUUCAUGUCCUAUGGAAACACUGAAUCAUUGCAUAAUGACUUUUCAGAAAAUCAGACUUUCCCCCUUUUAUUUAAAAGGAUUUCUAGGAAGCGCGAUUCUGUCUUAAUUGUUUAUGAACUUGCAUUUCGCAAAAAGAAAUAUUGAAUUCUCAUGUUGUGAAGCCUAUUGUGAAUGUUACAUCACAAAAUGUUCUUGUCUUUCAUAAAGACAAUUGUCCCUUCACUCAUUCCGAGUAAAGCGUCAUGGAGAUUUUCCCAAGUUGUUGUUCUGAUGUAUCAUCAUAGUUCUGUUACUUCAGUGGAAGAUGUCGUACUUUUAUUUCAGUUUCUCUUAACACCUUAUAUAAAAUAAAAUCAGAUACAUUUGCA